CCCGGCCGCCCAUCUUCUGAGAUGUGGGGAGCGCCUCUGCCCCGCCGCCCCGUCUGGGAUGUGAGGAGCACCUCUGCCCGGCUGCGACCCCGUCUGGGAGGGGAAGAGCGUCUCUACCCGGCCGCCCCAUCUGAGAAGUGAGGAGACCCUCUGACUGGCAACUGACCCGUCUGAGAAGUGAGGAGCCCCUCCGCCCACAGCCGCCCCGUCUGAGAAUGGUCCUCCCGGGCACUGUGCUUCAGCCACAGGGCCUCUGAACAUGUGAUUCCAAAUGCCAGAAACAUCAGAUGUCACGCCAAAUCUCUUUUCUCAGUGAAACCUUCCCUGAUUCCUCUAGACAAGGAAACAUACUCCAGGGCAGCUCAUGACUGGCUUCGUUUGAUUCACACUAACUUCCAAGAAAAGUGAAUCACAGACGGUGAGACUGUCCAG
rnacentral:lncRNA from 1 species